rnacentral:rRNA from 1 species
UACAGAGGUCUCGAGCGUUAGGCGGAAUCACUGGGCUUAAAGCGUGUGUAGGCGGAUCGUUAAGUGUCUUGUGAAAUCCCACGGCUCACCCGUGGAACGGCUGGGCAUACUGGCGAUCUUGGGCCAACUAGGGGCAGUCGGAACAAGCGGUGGAGCGGUGAAAUGCGUAGAUAUCGCUUGGAACGCCGAAGGUGAAAACAGACUGCUGGGGUUGCGCCGACGCUGAGACACGAAAGCCAGGGGAGCAAACGGG